GACGAACGCUGGCGGCGUGCCUAAUACAUGCAAGUCGAACGCAGUGGGGACGGGUGAUUAACACGUGGGUACUCUCCCAUAAGAGGGGAUAACACUUGGAUACAGGUGCUAAACCGAUAUUGGUGGAUGGACCCGCGGGGCAUUAGCGAGUUGGUGAGGUAACGGCCCACCAAGGCCACGAUGCAUAGCCGACCUGAGAGGUGGAUCGGCCACAGUGGGACUGAGACAAGGCCCAGACUCCGACGGGAGGGAGCAGUAGGGAAUCUUCGGCAAGGGACGAAAGUCUGACCGAGCCACGCCGCGUGAGUGAAGAAGGUUUUCGGAUCGUAAAACUCUGUUGUUAGAGAAGCGGUAUCUAACCAGAAAGCCACGGCUAACUACGUGCCAGCAGCCGCGGUAAUAC
rnacentral:rRNA from 1 species